rnacentral:tRNA from 1 species
ACUGCCUUGAUCCACUUGGCCACAUCCGC